GCAGAGCUCUUGUGUCCAUCUCCACCAUGGCCCACACUCCUCUCCUCCUCCACCACCUCCUCCUCGCACUCCUCGCUGUCUGCACAGGUUCCGUCAGUUCGUCUGCCCCGACUCAACCGCCCUCUGUGUCCGUGCCUCUGGGACAAACUGCCACACUCACCUGCUCCGGUGAAGGUAUCGGAAGCAAUGGCGCAAACUGGUAUCAGCAGAAACCCGGCCAGGUCCCUGUGCUGGUUAUAUACUAUAAUAACAACCGACCCUCCGGGAUCCCCGACCGGUUCUCCGGGUCCAAGUCCGGGAGCACGGCCACACUGACCAUCGCCAGGGCCCAGGCCGAGGACGAGGCUGAUUAUUACUGUCAGGAGGAUAGCAGUAGCAAUCCUCACAGUGACACAGGGUGA